UUAUGGCCAUAUCACGUCGAAACAUUGGUUCCCGUAUGAUCACCAGAGUUAAGCAACAUCAAGGCUGGUCAGUAGCUAGAUGGGUGAUCGCUUGGGAAUACCAGAUGCUAUA